rnacentral:rRNA from 1 species
GACGCGCGUAGGCGGAUCAGAAAGUUGGGGGUGGAAAUACCCGGGGCGUCAACCUCGGAACUGCCUUCAAAACUACCUAAGUCUAGAGUUCGAGAGAGGUGAGUGGAACUCCGAGUGUAGAGGUGAAAUUCGUAGAUAUUCGGAAGAACACCAGUGGCGAAGGCGGCUCACUGGCUCGAUACUGACGCUGAGGUGCGAAAAGUGUGGGGGAGCAAACAGGAUUAGAUACCCUGGUAG